UACGAAGGGGGCUAGCGUUGCUCGGAAUUACUGGGCGUAAAGGGCGCGUAGGCGGCCUGAUAAGUAGGGGGUGAAAUCUUGCGGCUCAACCGCAAGGCUGCCUUCUAAACUGUCAGGCUGGAGCACGGUAGAGGCAGAUGGAAUUCCCGGUGUAGCGGUGGAAUGCGUAGAGAUCGGGAAGAACACCAGCGGCGAAGGCGGCCCUCUGGAUCGUUGCUGACGCUGAGACGCGAAAGCGUGGGGAGCAAACAGG
rnacentral:rRNA from 1 species